UUUCGCAAUGCCCGAAAGGGUGACGAAGCGACGCCGCGUGUGGGAAGAAGGCCUUCGGGUUGUAAACCACUGUAGGGAGUUAGGAAAUGCAGGUGCGUUAAUAGCGCACUUGCUUGACUAAGGCUCCAGAGGAAGCCACGGCUAACUCUGUGCCAGCAGCCGCGGUAAUACAGAGGCGGCAAGCGUUGUUCGGAAUUAUUGGGCGUAAAGAGCACGUAGGCGGCUGUGUAAGUCGGUUGUGAAAGCCUUCCGCUUAACGGAAGAACGGCAUCCGAUACUACAUAGCUCGAGUGCGGGAGGGGAGAGUGGAACUCCUGGUGGAGCGGUGAAAUGCGUAGAUAUCAGAAGGAACACCGGCGGCGAAGGCGACUCUCUGGCCCGUAACUGACGCUGAGUGUGCGAAAGCUAGGGGAGCAAACGGGAUUAGAUACCCCGGUAGUCCUAGCCGUAAACGAUGGGCACUAAGUAGAGGGGUUUU
rnacentral:rRNA from 1 species